UCUAAUUUUAUUUCUAAACACCAUUUAGGCUCCUAGGCAUUUAGGGCCUAGGCUCCUCCCCUCUGUUUAUUUAUGCUGCGGUGCCCGGGGAGGGUUCGGUGCGGGAUUUCCACGAUGAAUCGAACCGACAACCUUACGGUUAGGAGUCAAACUCUCUAACCACUAGGGCGCGACAUCGAACAAGUCAAUACAGUAAAAAAAUGAAAGAGAACACAUUGUUUAGGUCUUAAAUCUCUUAAAGCCAUCAGAAAAAAUUUUAAAAAUUCAAAAAUAAACAGAGGGGAGGAGCCUAGGCUCUAAGUUUAAUUUUUUUGUUUUAGUGUACACAAAUUGGACGAUAAAGAAAUUGCUAACAAUAGUAGGACUAUAAUAGAGCAUGUUUUAGGUUGUUAGGCGUUUAGAUGCAGAAAUGGACAAAAAAGUGUACACUAAAACAAAAAAAUUAAACUUAUAAGAGUGUAAGGGAAGAUGAAAGAGUGCUUAAAUUAAAAAAAAAUGCACUUUUAAGUGCUUGAUAUAUUCAAAGAAAAGGCUCUGAAAAAUUUACAAAUUCUCAAUUUAAUUUUUAAAUUUUAUUUCUAAACACCAUUUAGGCUCCUAGGCAUUUAGGGCCUAGGCUCCUCCCCUCUGUUUAUUUAUGCUGCCAUGCCCGGGGAGGGUUCACUGCGUUCACUUUGCCCCCAUAAUUUUUCUCUGCCCAGGAAGAGGCCACCUCGAAGGCCGAGGCCAAUUUGUUUAUUUUUGAAUUUUUAAAUUUUUCAGAGCCUUUUCUUUGAAUAUAUCAAGCACUUAAAAGUGCAUUUUUUUAAUUUAAGCACUCUUUCAUCUUCCCUUACACUCUUAUAAGUUAAAUUUUUUUGUUUUAGUGUACACUUUUUUUGUGUUACUAUCUUCACAGACCCAUUUAUUUCUUUUUCACUUUCACACACUUAUUUGUGUUUUUAGCACCCCUUUGUUUUAUUUUACAACACAUAUUAAUCCACAUGACCAUCACAAUAAUCCACAAGUAAUCCACAUGACUCCAGUCCAUCAAUUAACGUCAUGUGAAGCAAAAAGCUGUGUGUUUGUAAUAAAAGAAUCCAUCAUUAAAUUUAAACUAUUUGUUUUUGCCUAAAAUAUGAGAUUUUAAACUAUAUACAAGUACACAAGCCUUUUAUCGCGACGUUUCGACAGCUUUCUGUGUCUUCUUCAGGCAUGACUUGUGUAAAAUAAAUGUUUUCUUCUCUGAGCUCAAUUUAAUUUUUUAGAAUUAAAAGCUCCUCCCCUCUGUUUAUUUUGUAAUUUUUAAAAUUUUCAGAGCCUUUUCUUUGAAUAUAUCAAGCAUCUUUAAAGUGCAUUUUUUGAAUUUUAGCACUCUUUCAUCUUCCCUUACACUCUUAUAAGUUUACUUUUUUUGUUUUAGUGUACACUUUUUUUGUGUUACUAUCUUGCCCUCAGUGUGUCCCCUUGUCAGCAAUGUGGGGGAUGUUUGGACCUCUAUGUAUGUGUCUAAUAUAGAGAACAUUUAAACACAAAUAAUAAUUCUUAAUAAAUAUGAGUGAAAGUCA